UUCUGGGGGUUGGACAUCCAAAACUUCUGGAGAACCAAAGUUUGGGAAACACUGCCUUAGAGGGUCCCAGGGGGAGAAAGUUCACCCCUAAAUCCAUCUCAGUUGCCACACAGCAGUAGCAGAUUUCAAACAGGGUGGUCCUGACCAUGUCUAAAGAUGUUAGGGAUUAAAUUUGGGGCCUUUUGCAUGCAUCACGCUUGCUCUCCUACAAAGCAAGGAUAGUCUCUGCUACCAGAGCUGUUUUGCUUUCUGCUCAUAUGUACAUUUCAUUCAGAACAGUGCUGGGCGCGUACCUGAAUGAACAUAGCCAUUCUGGCCUCAGAUCUACACAAGGCGAACCCAAAUCCCAAGCCUUAGCUGCAGCGUUCCUGGAAACUCAUUAGGAGCAUCAUAAUGCAUCAUUGAUCCGCUGUCUCCUGCUGCAACUGUAAAAAGCUGUGGUCAUCAACUGAUUAACAACAGAAUAUAGAUGCCCAAGCAAGGCCUGUGCAACCGCAGUGAAUCACACUCCACCGCCGCAGCCUUCCCCCAGGUAGAAAGGAGUUGUAGUUUCCUUGGAAAUAGUUGGACCUGUUGAUUAGGAAGGGGAAUGAGAGACCUUGUUCCAGACGUCAGUAUGUUUGUCUAGUCGUUAUGCGGCAAUCAGAAGCGUGCUUGUAUGUGUAUUUGUAUGCAUGUCUUGUUGCAGGAGCUGCCCUUACAAUUUUAUGGUAUCCAAAGAGAGAACCAUGUUCUGUUCUAGCACAAAAAAGACAUGAAGGAAUCCAGUCGCACCUUUGAGACUUGGAAGAAGAUAUUUCGAGCAUCAGCUUUGGGGACUGUCCCUGCUUAUUCUAGCCGGGGCCCUUACCUUUCCAAGAGCUGGAGAUGAUCAACAGGUUUAAUAAGACAGAGGAGCCACUUGCAUCUCUAGUUGGUCCCACUUGCUAAAAGGAUGAAACCAUGGGCCUUAGUCUCUCCUGCCUAAAAGGCUUCAAAACAUGCGUCAGCAGAGGCGGCGGUGGCGGAGGCGGUAGCGAGGUACCUGCCAUGACUGACAAGCACUUGAAAGUCCCAGACAUUAUUAUCACACCUCCUACUCCGACUGGGAAGGGGCUGUCGAGAGACACCAGGCAAGGAGGGGAAGAACUGCAGAACACCUGCUGAGCCAGAUGGUGUGGGAUGGGACGCAACCCAUUGCAAAGGGACUCGGCACGCAGAGAUGCCACCAAAGAGCCUGGCACUGUGAACAGUUCGCUCAGGAACUCAUUUGUGCCUCUGGGUCAUUAUUUCUUUUUCCUGUCUCCUCAAAUCCUCCUCCUUUGUUCUUUUCUUCUCUCUACAACUUUAUGGAAGAGUUAUGCAUGGAUCUGCGCAUACCUCACUGUUGGGACCAACGUACUGUUAGAAACUUUUCUCGCGUGGAGAAAAUUUGCGGUCACUGACAUGGAUGGACAAUGCUGGAUGGAGUUAGGAAGGAGGCCGAUUUUACUGGGAGAAAGGUGUGUUCAGAUCGGGGAGAUGCUACUUGUUGUCUCAAGUCUUUCAGUAGUGGCUUCGGUCUAUCUGUUCCCUUUAUCCUCCUCCCCCCAAAAUUGGGGGCAUCACCCCCAAAAGAGAGGAUGAUACACUUUGCAUACAGUGUGCAUAUGCUGAUUGAUGUACACAUUUUGGAAAGAAUUGCAAUUGCUGAAAUAGGAAUAAGAUACAUUGCGCCAUGAUAGGGAAGACCGUGACAGUGACGUGUGUGUGCUCCUGUGCAGUCUUGCUAUCUGGGUCAGUGAUUCCCAAACUCUGGUCCUCCAGGUGUUUUGGACUUCAUCUCCCAGAAGCCUCAGCUGUCUUGGCCAAUGGUCUUGGGUUCUGGGAGCAGAAGUCCAAAACACUUGGAAGGCCAAAGUUUGGGCAUCGCCAAUCUAGGUGCUAAUGGUGGACAGGCAAAUUUGCACUUUUUCUCCCUUCUUAUGACUCUUGGGCCAGCAUCCUGUUGUUGUUGUGUGCCUUCAAGUCGUUUCCGAUUUAUGGCAACCUUAAGGCAACCC